CAAUCACAUAUGAUGUUUAUUCAAUGCGAUAUUUUUUUUUGUGGAAGUUGGUAUAGUCGACUAUAAGAAGGCUAUGGGAAAGAGGAGAGCUCUUGGAUAUAAUACUCCCGAGAGGUGGGAAGUAUAAGGAGAAUGAUGCAAAGAUUGUUAUGAUACAAAUAUUGUAUCUUAUUGCAUUUUGUCAUCUCCAAGGUGUUGUACACCGAGAUCUCAAACCCAAGAUGAUUAAAUCAAAUUAAAAAAGUAGGAGCUUAAAGCUUCAUAGAAACGCCAAUUCAAAUUCAUCAUUACCCCUACAUAUCUAUUUGGGCCCUGUUCGUUUCAUGAUCUGGACGCGGCAUCCAGAUGCAGACGCAGAUCAAUGUUCGUUUGAUGCGAAAUAAAAGGUUAAGUUGGACGCAGCAUCCAGAUAUUUUUCAUAAUUCAUCCAGAUUUUUCAGGAUUUCUGGAUGAGGUUUUUAAACGUUUCCAGAAACAGUAAACUCAUCCAAAAGUGUUAAAAAUCGAUAAUACCCUUAAUUUAUCCUAGGAAUUACAAAGUUUUACCUUAUUUGUAAACCUAAUUUUUUUUCUCGCCGUCAAAGCAAAAAUCGAGUUUUUCGGCCAAAACCGGAAAAUCGAGUUUUUUCGCCAAAAUUGAAAAACCGAGUUUUUCGGUCAAAACCGGAAAACCGAGUUUUCCGGCCAAACCCCGAAAAUCGAGUUUUUCGGCCAAAACCCAAAAACCGUGUCUUCCGGCCAAAACCCGAAAACCGUGUUUUCCGGCCAAAACCCGAAAACUAGGGCUGGGCGUUCGGGUACCCAUUCGGGUUUCGGUUCAGUCCAUUCGGGUUUCGGGUUUUCGGGGUCAAAGAUUUCAGCCCAUUCGGAUAUUUCUAAAUUUCGGUUCGGGUUCGGUUUGGAUCUUUGCGGGUUCGGAUAACCCAUUUAAAAUGUUUUUAAAUUUUCAAAAUUCAUUAUAUACUUUAAAUUUUCAAAAUCUAUAAGAAAAAUAAUAUAUUACAUAUAAAUUUUCAUAAUAUAUAUGUCAAAAUACCUUAAUUUAACAUAUAAAUUAGUUUUCUUUGAAUAUUUGGAUAAAGAAUCAAUAGAUAUUUAACUAUUUUGCUGUUUUCAGUAUACUUUAGUUACUAGGUGAUUUUCCCGUGCUCAUGCACGGGUACAAAUAUUUAUAAAUUAAAUAUGUUACAAUAGUUGAUUGUUAUUUAAUUUUAAUUUUGAAUUAAUUUAUAAUUUGUAUGCAUAAUUUAUACUAAUAAUAUUAUUAUUAUUUUAAUCAGACAUAUGAUUUUAAAUAAGUUAUCAUUUUGGUAUAUUGGAUUGCAUCAAUCAAUUUCUCUAAAUUCAACUAAUAUUUUUUAUUUUAAAUAUAUGAAAAUUAUGAUUAUUUGCUUUUACUUUGGUUGUUAUCUUAGAUAUGUAAAUAUAUUUGAGGAAGAUUAUGUAUAACUUAAGAUAUAUUGUGCUUAGAAUGAAGUAAAAAUAAACUAAAUAUUUGAUUCCAAAUUACAAAAAUUAAACUAUAUGUUGAUUUUUAAAAUAAAAUAUCUCUAUAAUAUUAUUUGAGAAGUCAGUUUCUUAUGUGUCGCACUCACGUUAACUCUCAUGGUGGUUGAUUACGAUGAUACCCUUAAUGAAUUGAAAACAUAUUAUAUAAUUACUAUAUUAAAAUUGAUUUUUCCUUUUUUAAAAUAAUUUCUGUUAAUAAGAAGAUUCCUUUUUAGUUAACAUAUAUAAUUAAAUACAUUUAUAAAUAAAAACGAAAAUUAUAUAUUUAUAUAUAAUGUUGUUUCAUAAAAAGUAAAAUUAACAAAAAUGAUUUUGAUAUUAAGAAAAAUAAAUAUUUUCUUUAAACAUAAUCUUAAGUAAGAUAAAUAG